GACACAGCCAGCUACCUUCUCCGCUGCAACGCGCAUCGCUGCUCCUCUCGAAGACCUACGCCUAGCACGUGUUUUGCCUGAGUGACAACUCGACCGAGCAGCCUAGUGACAAUCAUGGAUGAAAGUGACAUGUCCACUAUGGAAGCCAAUACGGUGAACCCAGAGUCGUCGCACACAACAC